CCUACGGGGAGCAGCAGUGAGGAAUAUUGGUCAAUGGACGAGAGUCUGAACCAGCCAAGUAGCGUGAAGGAUGACUGCCCUAUGGGUUGUAAACUUCUUUUAUAUGGGAAUAAAAUGUUCCACGUGUGGGAUUUUGUAUGUACCAUAUGAAUAAGGAUCGGCUAACUCCGUGCCAGCAGCCGCGGUAAUACGGAGGAUCCGAGCGUUAUCCGGAUUUAUUGGGUUUAAAGGGAGCGUAGGUGGAUUGUUAAGUCAGUUGUGAAAGUUUGCGGCUCAACCGGAAAAUUGCAGUUGAAACUGGCAGUCUUGAGUACAGUAGAGGUGGGCGGAAUUCGUGGUGUAGCGGUGAAAUGCUUAGAUAUCACGAAGAACUCCGAUUGCGAAGGCAGUUCACUGGACUGCAACUGACACUGAGGCUCGAAAGUGUGGGUAUCAAACAGGAUUAGAUACCCGAGUAGUC
rnacentral:rRNA from 1 species